rnacentral:rRNA from 1 species
CUUACGAGUAGGGCUACACACGUGCUACAAUGGCGUAUACAGAGGGCAGCGAUACCGCGAGGUGGAGCGAAUCUCACAAAGUACGUCGUAGUCCGGAUUGGAGUCUGCAACUCGACUCCAUGAAGUCGGAAUCGCUAGUAAUCGCAAAUCAGAAUGUUGCGGUGAAUACGUUCCCGGGCCUUGUACACACCGCCCGUCACACCAUGGGAGUGGGCUGCAAAAGAAGCAGGUAGUUUAACCUUCGGGAGGACGCUUGCCACUUUGUGGUUCAUGACUGGGGUGAAGUCGUAACAAGGUAGCGCUAGGGGAACCUGGCGCUGGAUCACCUCCUUACACGA